GUUUACGAUUACACCAUGGAAAGUAAACCAGGACUCGUUCGAUCCCUGAAUUUAAGCAACGUCGGCUGCGUGAGUAUCUGGCAGGUAGACCCCUUUGGAAAACUCGGUAUCGAAGACA
rnacentral:rRNA from 1 species